rnacentral:rRNA from 1 species
AGUCGUUYUGCCCAUUGAAAUUAAAAGGCUGCGGUAUUUUAACUGUACAAAGGUAGCAAAAUAAAUAGUUUUUUAAUUGAAAACUUGAAUGAAAGAGUUAAUAAGAUAUUAAUUGUCUCGAUUAAUUAAUUUAAAUUAAAAGUUAAAAUGCUUUUAUAAAUUUAUUARACGAUAAGACCCUAAGAAUUUAAUUAUAUAUUUUAAUUAAAUUAUAAUAUUAAUAUUUAAUAAUUUUAUUGGGAGGAUAAUUAAAUUUAACUUUAAUUGAAAAAAAUAUUGAUAAAUAAAUAAUGAUUAARAUAAAGAUUAUAAGAAUUAAUUACCUUAGGGAUAACAGCGUAAUAAUUUUGGARAGUUCAUAUUGAUAAAAUUGUUUACGACCUCSAUGUUGAAUUAAAAUAAAAAUUAAAUGAARAUAUUUAAAUUUUUAGUCUGUUCGACUAUUAAAAUUUUAC